rnacentral:rRNA from 1 species
UACGUAGGGUGCAAGCGUUAAUCGGAAUUACUGGGCGUAAAGCGUGCGCAGGCGGUGAUGUAAGACAGAUGUGAAAUCCCCGGGCUCAACCUGGGAACUGCAUUUGUGACUGCAUCGCUGGAGUACGGCAGAGGGGGAUGGAAUUCCGCGUGUAGCAGUGAAAUGCGUAGAUAUGCGGAGGAACACCGAUGGCGAAGGCAAUCCCCUGGGCCUGUACUGACGCUGAGACGCGAAAGCGUGGGGAGCAAACAGG